CCUACGGGGUGCAGCAGUGGGGAAUCUUGCACAAUGGGCGAAAGCCUGAUGCAGCGACGCCGCGUGGGGAUGAAGCUUCUCGGAGUGUAAACCCCUUUCGACCGGGACGCGGUACCGGUAUAAGAAGCCCCGGCUAACUACGUGCCAGCAGCCGCGGUAAGACGUAGGGGGCCAGCGUUGCUCGGAAUUACUGGGUGUAAAGGGUUCGUAGGCGGUGUGGCAAGUCGGGAGUGAAAUCUCUGGGCUCAACCCAGGGGCUGCUUCCGAAACUGCCGUGCUAGAGUGUGGGAGAGGCGCGUGGAAUUGCAGGUGUAGCGGUGAAAUGCGUAGAUAUCUGCAGGAACACCCGUGGCGAAAGCGGCGCGCUGGCCCUACUGACGCUGAGGAACGAAAGCUAGGGGAGCAAACAGGAUUAGAUACCCCAGUAGUC
rnacentral:rRNA from 1 species